ACGGGAGGCAGCAGUGGGGAAUAUUGGACAAUGGGGGAAACCCUGAUCCAGCGACGCCGCGUGAGUGAAGAAGUAUUUCGGUAUGUAAAGCUCUAUCAGCAGGGAAGAUAAUGACGGUACCUGACUAAGAAGCUCCGGCUAAAUACGUGCCAGCAGCCGCGGUAAUACGUAUGGAGCAAGCGUUAUCCGGAUUUACUGGGUGUAAAGGGAGCGUAGACGGCAUGGCAAGCCUGAUGUGAAAACCCCGGGCUCAACCCGGGGACUGCAUUGGAAACUGUUAAGCUAGAGUGCAGGAGAGGUAAGUGAAAUUCCUAGUGUAGCGGUGAAAUGCGUAGAUAUUAGGAGGAACACCAGUGGCGAAGGCGGCUUACUGGACUGUAACUGACGUUGAGGCUCGAAAGCGUGGGGAGCAAACAGGAUUAGAUACCCUGGUA
rnacentral:rRNA from 1 species